UUUUAGCAGAAUGUUACGAAGAAAUAAGACAGCUAAGAAGGAAAGAAGAAUUUGAUGCCCAAUGAAAGAAACACCUGAUGGAGAACACUGGAGAUCAGAAAAUCAUUCCAUAAUUGAGACUUCCAUUCCUCCUGCAUUAGUUUGGGCAAACCCUCAGCCGGACGAACGUGAAGUGCCCGUGCAGAGGGUGAACCAGCUGUGAGUGACCCACUGAUGCUGCAGUGGAGUCCCUGUUCUGAGUGCAUACCAUGUGAAAUGAGGCCAUGGGGAAUAGCUGCUGCUGUCAUCACACCACUCACUGCAUCACACUUCCACACCUUGUGUCUGCAGUACAAUGCCUGUGCUACCAUCUGGGCCCCUUAUACUGCAAUAAAGUAUCCCCUGAGCUUUCCUUUCUUCAGGCUGAACAACCCCAGCUCUCUCAGUCUAUUUUUGUGAGAGAGGCCCUCCAACUUUCUAACCAUCUUCACGGACAGCCUCUGGACUGCUUCGGUCGGUGCAGGUUCUUCUUCUAUUGAGGAUCCCAGAGAUGGAUGCAGCACCCCGGGUGGGGUCUCUCCAGAGCAGAGAGGCAGAGUCACCUCCCUUGACCUGCUGGCCACGCUGCUUUUGAUGCUUUUGGCUUUCUGGCCUGCAAGUGCACAUGGCCACGUCGUGUCCAGCCUCUCAUCCACCAACACCCCCAAGCCCUUCUCAGAUGGGCUGCUCUCAAUCCGUUCAUCCCCCAGCCUGUGUGGAUACCCACGGCUGCCCUGGCUCAGGUGCAACACCUUGUGCUUGUUCUGAUUAAACCUCAUGAGAUUCCCAUGGUCUCACUUCUUGAUCUUGUUCAGGCUCCUCCAGAUGGCAUCCCAUCCAUCAGGUGUGCCAACAGCACCCCUAAGCUUGGCACCAUCUUCAUGGAAAGUAAAUAACUUCAAUGUCCAUGGAGUCAAGAAGGAAUCACAUGAGUGGAACGUAUGUCAUUAUCACAGCCAUUAAAGAACUGUGAAGAAGGUUCAUACAUUUAUCUGCUUUUUCAAGAAACCUCAAGACAUUCCUUCUAAAUUUGAUUGACUGUUUUAAUUAUGUAUU